AAAAACACAAAAAAUUUUUACUCUAAGCGGUGGAUCACUCGGCUCAUGGGUCGAUGAAGAACGCAGCAAACUGUGCGUCAUCGUGUGAACUGCAGGACACAU
rnacentral:rRNA from 1 species